rnacentral:rRNA from 1 species
GAUGAACGCUAGCUACAGGCUUAGCACAUGCAAGUCGAGGGGCAUCAGGAAGAAAGCUUGCUUUCUUUGCUGGCGACCGGCGCACGGGUGAGUAACACGUAUCCAACCUGCCCUUUACUCGGGGAUAGCCUUUCGAAAGAAAGAUUAAUACCCGAUGGCAUAAUGAUUCCGCAUGGUUUCAUUAUUAAAGGAUUCCGGUAAAGGAUGGGGAUGCGUUCCAUUAGGUUGUUGGUGAGGUAACGGCUCACCAAGCCUUCGAUGGAUAGGGGUUCUGAGAGGAAGGUCCCCCACAUUGGAACUGAGACACGGUCCAAACUCCUACGGGAGGCAGCAGUGAGGAAUAUUGGUCAAUGGGCGCUAGCCUGAACCAGCCAAGUAGCGUGAAGGAUGAAGGCUCUAUGGGUCGUAAACUUCUUUUAUAUAAGAAUAAAGUGCAGUAUGUAUACUGUUUUGUAUGUAUUAUAUGAAUAAGGAUCGGCUAACUCCGUGCCAGCAGCCGCGGUAAUACGGAGGAUCCGAGCGUUAUCCGGAUUUAUUGGGUUUAAAGGGAGCGUAGGUGGACUGGUAAGUCAGUUGUGAAAGUUUGCGGCUCAACCGUAAAAUUGCAGUUGAUACUGUCAGUCUUGAGUACAGUAGAGGUGGGCGGAAUUCGUGGUGUAGCGGUGAAAUGCUUAGAUAUCACGAAGAACUCCGAUUGCGAAGGCAGCUCACUGGACUGCAACUGACACUGAUGCUCGAAAGUGUGGGUAUCAAACAGGAUUAGAUACCCUGGUAGUCCACACAGUAAACGAUGAAUACUCGCUGUUUGCGAUAUACAGUAAGCGGCCAAGCGAAAGCAUUAAGUAUUCCACCUGGGGAGUACGCCGGCAACGGUGAAACUCAAAGGAAUUGACGGGGGCCCGCACAAGCGGAGGAACAUGUGGUUUAAUUCGAUGAUACGCGAGGAACCUUACCCGGGCUUAAAUUGCAGUGGAAUGAUGUGGAAACAUGUCAGUGAGCAAUCACCGCUGUGAAGGUGCUGCAUGGUUGUCGUCAGCUCGUGCCGUGAGGUGUCGGCUUAAGUGCCAUAACGAGCGCAACCCUUAUCUUUAGUUACUAACAGGUUAUGCUGAGGACUCUAGAGAGACUGCCGUCGUAAGAUGUGAGGAAGGUGGGGAUGACGUCAAAUCAGCACGGCCCUUACGUCCGGGGCUACACACGUGUUACAAUGGGGGGUACAGAAGGCAGCUAGCGGGUGACCGUAUGCUAAUCCCAAAAGCCUCUCUCAGUUCGGAUCGAAGUCUGCAACCCGACUUCGUGAAGCUGGAUUCGCUAGUAAUCGCGCAUCAGCCACGGCGCGGUGAAUACGUUCCCGGGCCUUGUACACACCGCCCGUCAAGCCAUGGGAGCCGGGGGUACCUGAAGUACGUAACCGCAAGGAUCGUCCUAGGGUAAAACU